GGAUGUAGCGGCGGACGGGUGAGUAACACGUGGGUAACCUGCCUGUAAGACUGGGAUAACUCCGGGAAACCGGAGCUAAUACCGGAUAGUUCCUUGAACCGCAUGGUUCAAGGAUGAAAGACGGUUUCGGCUGUCACUUACAGAUGGACCCGCGGCGCAUUAGCUAGUUGGUGAGGUAACGGCUCACCAAGGCGACGAUGCGUAGCCGACCUGAGAGGGUGAUCGGCCACACUGGGACUGAGACACGGCCCAGACUCCUACGGGAGGCAGCAGUAGGGAAUCUUCCGCAAUGGACGAGAGUCUGACGGAGCAACGCCGCGUGAGUGAUGAAGGUUUUCGGAUCGUAAAGCUCUGUUGUUAGGGAAGAGCAAGUGCAAGAGUAACUGCUUGCACCUUGACGGUACCUAACCAGAAAGCCACGGCUAACUACG
rnacentral:rRNA from 1 species